rnacentral:rRNA from 1 species
GGUUCAUUCAAAUUUCUUCNCUAUCAACUUUCGAUGUUUGGGUAUUGGCCAAACAUGGUUUCAACGGGUAACGGAGGGUUAGGGGCUCGACCCGGAGAAGGAGCCUGAGAAACGGCUACUACAUCCAAGGAAGGCAGCAGGCGCGCAAAUUACCCAAUCCCGACCGGGGAGGUAGUGACAAUAAAUACUGAUACAGGGUCCUUACGGAUCUUGUAAUUGGAAUGAGUACAAUUUAAAUCCCUUAACGAGGAACAAUUGGAGGGCAAGUCUGGUGCCAGCAGCCGCGGUAAUUCCAGCUCCAAUAGCGUAUAUUAAAGUUGUUUGGGUUAAAAAGCUCGUAGUUG